rnacentral:tRNA from 1 species
GGGGAGGUGGCUCAGGGUAGAGCACUUGCCUUGCAUGCAAUGAGGUCCUGGGUUCGAUUCCUCAGCAUCACAU